AUAUCUGCAAGAGUAACAAAGGGAUCACAGUGAGAAGGACUACCAGAGGGAAUACCAUAUACAUAUAUAUAUACUGGUACCUACACAUAAAUAAAUACACACACUAUUUUGUGUCUAAUAAAAUAAUAAUUCAAGAUGGAUUGAGAAAAUAAUGGGGAAGAAGCAGCCCCUCUCCCCUGCCGUAAGUAAGUAAAAUAUUAUUAUUUUCUGCGCACAAGCACUUCCCCUUCAAAGAGUGUGGACACAACCAUCCCAAAAUCAGUUUGGUGGCCAAGAUCAAGUGUGCAUUGUGGAUAGGAAGGACUGAGGACAGGGAAGCUUGGGGGGGGGGGGUUUGUCACUGGAAGAAAUAAAAACAGCAGAACAUGCUUAGCAGUUUAGAAUUGGUUGCACUGGCAGAGCUCAGAAGAUGUAACCUGAAUAGAAUUCAGCCAAUACCAAAUUUGAUUACAUGAAGGUCAAAGGUGCAAUAAAGUCAAUCUGCUUAUUUCACUUGAAGGACCCACAGACAGAAAUUCACAGCCACACGCUGGAACCGCUGCCUAUCUCUCACUGUGAGAGAGCCUAGGACUAGAAAGGCCACGAGGGGCACUUGUCCUCAUGUCUACCUAACUCAACAGGAGGCAGAAGGGCUUAGCCAAGGAUAGAAAAGAGCAAGCAGCUUCAGUAUACUACACUAUUUACUACUAAGUGACAUUCUCGCAUUGGCUAGCAACCAAGUGGGCAAUGAUAUUAGCAGGAAAACAGAGGCAGGAAUAUCUUCCAGGGCUGUAUAAUGAUUCUGUACAGAAAAGGGUUAUAACCACCCAGACUAGGGGGCAGGGUAUGUUUAGGAAGAAUAAUUAGCAUCUUUUGAAUUUUUAGGACAAAAAAGAGGAGUGUUACAGUUAUCCUUUUCAAGGCAAGAGUCAGAUCUGCAGACUCAAUGCUUGUUCAAGAGUGGUCCAAAUCAGGUUCCUCCUCUCUCCUUUUCAGACAUUAAACCAGCAUCAAAACCAAACUUCCAAUAAUUAAGAGGCCACCAGGGAUACUUAUUUAUUUCGUGAAAGAAGAAGGUAGGGAGGAAAACAACAAGACUAACAAAUAAGGACAAGGAAGUGGCAAAGGGUGGGGGGAAACAAUAAACAAGAACACCCUAACAAAACAACUGUAACAAGAGUAAACAAGAAGCCCAAACAGGACAUUUUUCCUGCAGAGAAAAAUAUCAAACCGACCAGAGGCAGAACACAUCUGGAGAGCCAAUGAUAGGAUGGCUUCUCCUUCUCCUUGCUUGCACACCACAAAAGCAGCCCCUUACCCCCACAGAUAUUUCCCCACGGAAGGCAGUGAGAGUGGAGCUUGGAUAGAGCCAUGAGGCAGAGAUGGAUGUAGGCAGAAAGAAAAAGACUGGGACGGAUCUGCAGCUUCUCCCUGCAGCUGCCUCUGGAAGCAGCAGUGGGGUGGUGCCACUCUGUACUCUGCCCUCCUUGCCACAAUCCCUGUGUGCCUGCCUAUGUAUAUGCAGUACAGAGGUACCUCGGGUUAAGUACUUAAUGCGUUCCAGAGGUCCGUUCUUAACCUGAAACUGUUCUUAACCUGAAGCACCACUUUAGCUAAUGGGCCUCCUGCUGUCGCUGCACCACCAGAGCACGAUUUCUGCUCUCAUCCUGAAGCAAAGUUCUUAACCCGAGGUAAUAUUUCUGGGUUAGCGGAGUCUGUACCCUGAAGCGUAUGUAACCUGAAGCGUAUGUAACCCGAGGUACCACCGUACCAAGAAAUUCCCUGGGCCACAGAUACAUGCAGAGUGCCUGCUAACAUCUCAAGAUGUUGCAUAUAUAAAAGCUUGCCUACUCCAAAAGACACUGGCUAUAUUAAACAGAAAUCUAUAUAUAAUAUAUAUUUCGGUCAAUAACCGGUAGAGAACAGAAAUCUCAUUUCAUGUGGCAACCCUGGCACCACCCACUGGUGAAAUGGAAAGAGUGUGUCACAAGAAAAAAACACAGGCACAGGAGGUACUAUUUUUAUUUUGUAGUAUUAUUGCAGAGUUAAAGUGAAGGAUAAUAUUCAACAUUACCUAAGUCAUUGACAGUGGGCCAUUUUCAACUAACUCAUUGCCCUGGAACAUGCCAGCACAAGGACUCCUACUAGCACAAUGGGAUUUCCCCCUUCUCUUCCUCCCUCGUGCACCCCACACCCUCCCCAAAUCUGCUCUGGUGGGUCAGGAGAACCCCCAGAACAGCAUGUGGGGAGAGGAGAAGAAAGACUGUUCCGCUGGAUGAGCAGGAAUGUUUGCACUGACAGAAUGAUCCCUUUAGCCCACGUUGAAGACAACCCCAUUUCUGUUAAUUUUUUUCGAAAUCUUGUCAUUUUUACUGUCUCUUUAUCAGAUUAUGUUGAAUAUCAUCUGAGGUUGGUUUGCAUGUUUUAAGGUGCAUGUUUUCUCUGGGAUGCCACUGUGGCAUUCAAGCCCCUCCAAAGACUUGAAGAAACCAAACCUACCUCUCACCUAAGUACAUUGUUACAAUGGCACUAGAAAGAUUGAAUCUGUGAAUACAAAUGCUAUACACAACUCAGGAAAGUACUAUUUGAAUUUGAAUUUUAGUCAUUAGAAAUGUAGCUAUUUCAUUAUGGUCAUUAUACGGUAAUUCAUUUUCCAUUGUAAGCAAUUUGUAUUUUAUCGUUCAUGUGAACUGCCCAGAGAACGUGGCUGGACGCAUGGUAGACAAAUGCAAUAAAUAAAUAAUGUCAGAAAUGUGCAUUACUGUUCUGUGACCACAAUUUAUGUUCUAUGGAAGAACAUGGCAUCCAGAAUCUUCUCUCAGUAGCAGGUACUAGAGAUCAUUUUCUUUCUUUUUCCUAAGUGUCCCCCCCCCCCAUUUUGUCUCAUUUUUAUGUAAUAAAGUAAGUUUGUAUAUGCACAUGUUGGGAUGCAGGAAGGUGAAUCUAAUUCUGAAGAGAAACAUUGCAGACCUGCAACUGUUGUUCUUCUGGUGCUCAUCUUUAUAUUCAUUCAUAUGGCACAGAAGCUAAAUGUGGGAUUUCAGAGAGAUCACAGAUGAAAUAGAACUAUAUUUUCCUGAAGAACUCAGUUCUUUUAAAAGAAGAUCCCUCCCCCAGGACUUCCGGGGUGGCGCCAUCGGCAAUGGCGGACUCCCUCUGAUCUGGAGGGACUAGCUCCGCACGAAACGGGUCUUUUCCGCUACGGCGAAGCGGGGACCCUUUCAAAAAUCACAGGCGGAUGAAGCCUGUGACCAUGGGACUCGGCGGGCACCCUUAGCGCCCCCCCCCACCCCGCAAAGGAACCCACUAACAGGCUCCAAAGCGAAGAGGGGGAAGUGGCGCGGUGCUGAGAGUCAACUGCUUUUUCCGUGGAGCGAAGCUGCAUAGCCGUUGCCGGAGAGCGCUGCCUUUUUCCUGGGACAAUUUGGCUUCUAAAAUAAUCACCCGUGAGUACUUAAAUUUCGGACAAUUGGACUUUAAAUAAGGACUUGCGAGCAGAAAGGAAUUGGACUUAAAAAUUUACUUUAAUUUGGCACUGAAACGGGAAGGUCUAAACAGGAAGUCAGCCUUCCGUUUCUUUGUAGAUAGAUUAAAGCAAAGACAUGGCAAACUAGAGCUCAGAAAAUCGCCUGUAAAAGAUUAACUUUCAUCAUUUAAAAUUGUUGAACCCCCUUCGGAAGCAGGAGAAGAGGGGGGAUUUUUCGGACUGUUUAAACCUGCAGAAGUGAGGGUAAAGUAAAGUAACUUUCCACCGUCCUGAUCCUGGAGCGGGGUGUUAGGACUGACGUUUUUUGAAGCUCAUUGACCAGAGACAACGUUUUUGACAGAUAGCUAUAAGAAGAGAAACAUUGAUUCCACUGUUCCCCUUCGCUUUUUAAAGGAACAAAUAUUGACAAAAUAUCUGAAAAAGGAAACUUUGUUGCUAGACUUGGUCUUUAAAAGAAAGAACAAAUAGAAGUUUUUCCCCUAGAGGGAGACUGUGAAACUGUAACCAACUCCGGGGAGCUUGCAGCUGUUACAGAUUACAAUCGUGGGAAUAGAUUUCUGACCUUGCAGGACAAUGUAUUCAGAAGCUCUGUUGUGUGCUUUCUAUAAAACAAAUGCCCUACUGGAACAGUUACAUGAGAAGACGGAUUUGAUGACUGAUUCGAUCAGAAAUUUUAAACAGGCAGUGGGAAAUUUUGAACAGGCAGUGGGAAAUUUUGAACAGGAAGUGGGAAAAUAUAUGGCGCCCACCCAGGAAUUAAAUCAGGAGUGUGCCCUGACAGAACAGAUGAGGGAAGAGGAUGUUGCUGAAUCUUAGGCGCCAGAGAUGGAGGGAGCUGUGGCCCAACAGGAACAUGAGCUUUUGGAUUUGACAAAUGAACUUGGAAAAAGCCAGAUUUGGAAAGAUAAAGUUUGGUUUGGUUUGGAAAUGGGGGGCUGGAUAGACCCCCCUAUGCAGGGAUGUUUGGACUUUUCAAGUCUGGCAAUGGGCCGUGAGAUGUUUGGGGUUGUGGGGGCUCCUAAUUUUGGAGGGAUUUUGAAACAUGUUCUUAAAUACCACAUGGAGUUUAGUGUGGAUUAUGGAAAAGGGGCUGAUCUGUCGAGAAGGGUCAAAAACAUUGUCAAGCUGGAGUUCCCACGAGUGAAACGAGCAGGAGACAAGGGAAAAUACAGUUAUAAAUAUGAAGAAGAGCUGCGGAAGGGACAUGGAAGAGACUUAAGGGCCUCGGAUACAAGGAUACCAGGUUAAUGCGCUAGAUCGAUGGGAUAAUAAGGACUGACAAAACCCGGGACCAGGAGGAAGGGACGCUGGAUGAAGAUUGGAUUGUUUUUAUUUCUUUUUUACUACUAGGAUUGUUUUAUAAAAUUGAUGAAUGUUAGAAAAAUGUUGGAAUGAAAUUACUUGGCUUUAGUAAAAAUGUUUAAAGAAUUAUGUAAGAAUAUUAUGGUUAUGAGAAGUUGGUAAAAAUAAGAUUUAAGUUUUAAGUUUCAAGGUUUUUAUAGUAAGAUAAGAUUAAAAUAGUUUAAGGUAAUGUAAUGACAGAAUAUUAUGAAAUAUGGAAAGGAUUUGCUGCGACAAUUAACAACUAGGAUACAAAAAAGGGGAGGAGGAGGAGGUCAAAGAAAGAAGGUAAUGACAGUUGAGGAUUUGAGAAUAAUGGAUUUGUUUUUAAAUGUUUGUGGUGUAUUUUUGGUUUUUUUUUUGAAUUUGUAUUGUUUGAUGUGGUUUGUUUUUUCUUUGCUCUUUCUUUUCUUUUUUUUCUACUUUGUUCUCUUUUGUAAUUUAAAAAAAAUAAAUCCUCCGACCUUCUGAUCAGCAAGUCCUAGACUCUGUGGUUUAACCCACAGCGCCACCCGUGUCCCAAGCCAAAAUGCAAAGGUUUAAGCUUAUUUAGUCUCAAUGAAAACACUAGGGUUUAAAAUUAACUUCAGGUUUUCUGGUUUGUGAACAGAUCUGGCAACCUCCUUUACAUCCUAGAAACCUUUCAGGCCUGGUACAUAUGCACAGUACAAUUAAAGCAAGGGUGGAAAAUCUGUAGGUCUCUCCAGAUGUUGCGGGUGCGAUCAUCCCUGACCACUGGUCAUGCUGGCUAGGACUGGGAUGGAGUCCAACAACCCCUGGAGUACCACAGGUAGCUAGCUCAUCACUGAAUUAAAGGCUGCUUACUAGUACAAAUCAAAAAUCUAAACCAAGAGAAUGAUUUUUUUUAAGGUCAGUUUCAAUGGCCCAUUCCCUAUGGUAGAAACACAUGUGACUAUUUUAAGAUGGUCUUCUUUUCAAUUUUCAAUUCUGCAUCAUAUGUUCAACUUGGCUUUGCCUCUGGCAACUAUUGCCAAGAUGAGAGAGACAAUAUUUUAAAAUUACUUCUGCAUAUCAAGAAGACCUUUUCCAGAAGACCCUAAGCAUGCUCUCUGAGAUUCUACCGUGCAUUUUUCUGUUUAGGGAUAUUUGUACACUGUUAAUUCCCUGGCAGGUGGUAGCAAACAUUUGUUAUGUUUCCCUAACACUUUCCCCAGAUGCUUUUCUGGAACAAAUUCUAGGGAAAUGUAUUUUCCUGCUAAGUUACUGCGGUAAAGGGAUGCGUUAGUUUUUGAUGUGAUUGGGUCCUCAUAUGGGGCCUUUGUUGCCUCAGUUUCACAUGUGGAGCAACUGGUGUCAAAUAUAUUCCCCACAAGAAAAAACAAAAAGUUACCAUGUCAGAGGUCCUGUUCACACAUGCAUGUUCAUAGCUUCACACCUGCAAUAUCAAAUGAUAGAUUAGUCAUACAUGUGAAACAGGUAUCACAGGGUUUUUGUUGUUGUUGUUGUUUUUUAAACAGACAGAGGUUUCUUAUCACUUUCUAAUGAAGGUAAUUCACACAUUCAGGUAAAAGCCAUCAAGUGUGAGUAAUGAACUGAUGAGAUAUAAAAGAGAUUUACAAGCCCACCAUUGAAGGGCAAUUCAUUGUCCCAUUGAAAUGGUACCUCGGGUUACAUACGCUUCAGGUUACAAACUCCGCUAACCCAGAAAUAGUGCUUCAGGUUAAGAACUUUGCUUCAGGAUGAGAACAUAAAUCAUGCAAUGGCGGCGCAGCAGCAGAAGGAGGCCCCAUUAGCUAAAGUGGUGCUUCGCAUUAAGAACAGUUUCAGGUUAAGAACAGACCUCCAGAAUGAAUUAAGUUCUUAACCUGAGGUACCACUAUAUUGUCAUCUCAUGUAAUGGUACCUCAUCUUAUUUCACAUAGGAGGGGAGACAUUUGUUGGAAUAAUACCCAAUUCAAACUUGUGCUCUUGGAUUCAUUAGACCUUGGAACAAACACAUUUUUAAAACACUGUUAGUUAUCAGGUGGGGGGGGGGAUUAAACUAUUGCACACAAAUAGUUCCUCAUGCAAAAUUGAAAAGGUACAGCUCUCGUGCCCCAAGGCUAUAUUGUGUUUAAAAUGAAUCUAAGAAUCAGCCUUGAGUGACAUCCUAGAAAAAGAUGGAUAGUGCAGAUUCCUCCUGAAAUGCUGAAUAUUGGGGGGCAGAGAGAAAUAAUACCUUAGUGUCGACUUCAUUUAGUGCCUACUACGUACUGUACAUUUAGUGACCAGGGAGAAAAGACUGUAGGGUUAGUAUCUAUUAUCUCCCGUUGCAGUAAACACAGGCCCAACAAGUACUUUGCCCUGUAAAGUUUUAUUUUUAUUUACACUGGCUAAGAAAAAUGUGUGGGAUAACCAGCUUCAUAUAACUAAAGUGCUUAAGUCUAAUAAAUGCAUGAAGGGGUUAAGACCAUAGAGUCAGCUCUAUUACCAGGUGUACUUCACCUUGGGAGGGACCAGGUAAUCAGCCCUACUGUUCUCUCCUAGCCUCCCUGAGAAGCUCAACAUGUGAAGAGGUUUGAGCUGGUAGCUGUAGCUCAGUUUGCAUGGCUCUCACAAGCCACGCUUGAGUUCAUAUACCAGUAAUUUAGGAACUUUCACCAUUUUGUAACUAAGUUUUACUUCCUGUGUUCUGAAGCACAUGAAUCUGACCAUUGGAGAGUUUGCAAGCAAACCAUGUUUAACAUACCAAACAUAUGGUCUUUUUUCUAUGCUGGGGGAAGUAGGAAACUCUGGAAAGGAACAUUUUAAGGGGAUAUUUUGGAACUAGCUUUAAAGGGCACAUUUUAAAGUUUUACAUACUAUAUUUUCAUGUUUAAGUUUGCUGCAUAGUUUGUAAUUUUAUAUCUAAGUGGGACAUCUGCAUCUAGAGAAUGAUACAAUCUAACCAGAUUAAGAUUGGUUGAAGCCUUGGAGCGAUACUAAUUUAUGAAGGGGCAGAAAAAGGUGGCUCCUCAUAGCACUAAGAUGUAGCACUAGGAUAAAUGGAAACAAAAUCUGACAUCUACAAGCAUCAAGUCCCACUUUGCCACCAUUUUAUAUGUCCUUAGAUAUCUUCACAACAGCCAUGUGAGGUAGGCUAGGCUGAGAAUUGUUGACUAGCCCAAGGGAGUAAGCAAAAACAAUAAAAAGGGAAAGUGAGUUAGAAUGUGAAACUGCACAUGCUCAAAGUAUUUUCAUUUUUGUUUAUGAAGGUUAGCAAAAUGCUUUCUGUUUGCAUUUUGCUGCGAGUUGUGAAACACUACAGGCUCAAAGUAUUUUUUGUAGUCAACAGAAGCUUAUGCCAUAAUAAAUUUGUUAGUCUUUCAGAUGCCACAUGAGUUCAUUUUUGGUAUUUUACUUCAUGUAUUCCAUUUUUGGGAGAAUGGGGCUUUAUUGUUGAGAACUGCACCAGGACUCCCAACUAUCUUAAUCUGGCUUUGGCUAUCCAGCUAGGGACAGACAACUUAUACAGUUGCCAUUUAAUCAACAGUGGACUGAUUACAUUUUUGUGGGGGUUUUGGCUUGUUUAUUCAACUGAUAAGUUACUGUAAAAUAAUUUAUAGUAUUAAUGUAUGUUUAAAUCUAUAAAAUAAACACUGUUCACAUUGAUCUAGCUCAGGAGCAAUUGCCAAUCUGUCCUUCCUCAUCCGUAGCUGAGAGCUAUGAGUAUUACAUUGGCUCGUAUGCAUCAUCACAUUAUGGAAAAUGGAAAAUUAUCAUAAAAUGAUGAAAGAACCCCUACCUGCACAAUUCUCUCCCAUCCCCCAUCUUGCUGUAGAUCUCUUGCAGCAAUUGUUACCUGGAAAAAGGAAAGACACAUGUCCUCAUACAGCUUCCAUAUUCAAGGAAAUGAGGCAGGGGAGGGAAUGGGCCAAAGAGUGCAUGCAGAUGGGAGCAAUCUCUGCCAUAAUACAACAACACCGAUGUGACAGGGCAUCGAGUUGUGCAACAACCUGAUGUGACAGGAGACCAUGAAAUACACAAGAAGCACACUGACAGUUGUGAAGAUGAAGAUGUGAUAAUUUUAUCUGAAAAGGACACAGGUUACCCGUCAUUUCAAUAAUGUUAAUAAUUAGCAAGUAAACAAAGAUGUUCUUGUAAAACUUCCAUUUUCUAAAUGCUGCAUUAUAACUCUAGGGGGGAAAUUGUCGAUUGCAAACCUCAUCUGCAAAAAUUGCAACGUGAUAUCACAGCAUACAAGUGUUAUAAGAAAAAAUAAAACUACAGAUCACCCUUGGACUUGCUUAUACUGUAUAUAAAUUGAACAUAAAAUUGUGGUCCCGUCUUAAGGUUCUGCUUGAAGCAAUGUGUGAUUUCUGCACUCUGGGAGUCACACUAACCCAAUGAAGAACAAAACUGAGCAGUAAGCAGAUACUAGAAACUACAGCAGCCAGUGUAAAAGCUCUUUAUCUAGAAGGGGAAGAACCCAACAAAACAUCAAAAUCAGGGUUGAAUGCUAUUUUUUGGCGCAUCUAAUAGGACGUGUGUGUGUGUGUGUGUAUGUGUGUGUGUGUGUGUGUGUGUGUAGAAUAUAUAUAUAUAUAUGGCUUUUUUUCAGCCAGAACGCUCUGGGACUCAGUUCUGGCACCUCUCAGGUGGACACCAUUGCCAUUCUAAGAGAACAAGAGAAUUGUUCAUGCUGAGUUUCAGCACCUCUUUUUCUAGAAAAAUAGCACUGCACAGAGAAUAAACAAUCAGUCCCCCGGGCUUCUCAGUGCUCACUGCCCAAGAGUCUUAGUGCACAUCCUACUGUCUCUAAAUAAUUCUAAAUUGAUGCUUGAAAGAGAUUUCUAAACAGCCAUCUGAGUGAGCAGUCCCAAUUUCCUUUCUUUCAGGCUACAUGCCAAUAUUUCAUGAGCCCCAUCAUUUCUUCUCAUUUACUGUCACACUUUACACCCCAUUUUGCAAUUAGCACACUGUUUAACAUAGCACUGGUGUUAUUUACUAUAUAUUUUGGAAAACUGUCUAUUUGAUAUGCAUUUGGACACCUUUUAUGAUCUUGUAACCAAAUUAUGAGAAUUAUGAUUAUGGGGACUUCCAGGUGAAUGUGGCAAUGAGUAAGACUGCUUGUCCUUGAGCUAAGCAGUCUGCUUUAAUUUGUUUUUAAUUUGUUAUGAAUUGUUUCAAAGUUUUAAAGUCAAUUGGCUAAGCAGUUAAUGUUAAUUGCUACAUACAGGCAAUGAGCAUAUUUGUUUUACUUCUAUGUGGACUUAAAAGCCAUAUAUUUUAAUUGGAAGACAGGCACUGGGAGAGCAGCUGUGUUGGCUCUGCAUUUUUAACUGAUAAGAAAGGCUUAGAAGACUGUCUCAGCCAAAGGAUACUCUGCAGUUUUAACAUGGUUAUUACAUGAGCACAGACCCACAUUGCUUCAGACGAAGUGUACAGAACUCCAUUGCCAAAUUUACUCCAGAAAUGUAUGCAGGGCUACUGUGACUCAGCAAGGGAGGCAGAGGUAACUGGAAAUAAAUUGUGGCAAGAUGUAAUUAAUAUGUAUUACGUGGGCAGCUACGUGGCGAGUGUGCAAGUAAUAGGGCUCAUGAUGCCUUAUCCCAAGUAGGAUGUUUUGCUACAAAUUCCUUUAAUAAAAGCCUAGCUAACUGGUCAACCAAUCCCGACUUGCUAGGAGCUGAGAUAUAUGUUCCCAGGCAACCUCAGCUUCCUCCACAUAAUGAAACCUCAACUAUGCGUAAUAACAAUAUUGGCAUAAUACUCGGCCACAACAGAGACUGAACCUCCCUCACUGUGGGAACUUUUACACAUCCCAUGUCUUCUGUCUAAACAAACAGUAGAUGGAAUCUUUAGAAAAACUGAUGCAUUAGAAAAAGUUUAAAUACCAUCACUGGUGCACUGGCUGGGUUUGUGGAGACAUGAAUUCUGAAUGUAGCCCAUCCAGAUAAGCCCUACCUGCAAAUAAACUUUUGUAUACAGUGGUACCUUGAGUUACAUAUGCUUCAGGUUACAUAUGCUUCAGGUUACAGACUCUGCUAACCCAUAAAUAUUACCUCGGGUUAAGAACUUUGCUUUAGGAUGAGAACAGAAAUCGUACUCCGGCGGCGUGGCAGCAGCAGGAGGCCCCUUUGCUAAAGUGGUGCUUCAGGUUAAGAACAGUUUCAGGUUAAGAACGGACCUCUGGAACGAAUUAAGUACUUAACCCGAGGUACCACGGUAAUCUUCUUUCAAAUGUCAUAACCCCACCUAGGUCCUUAAGCAGUCUCUUUUGCUCCUCUCUCCAAAUCUUUAUUCUCUUCUGUUUUGUUUAACUCAUUUGCCUUUGCCUACCCAUCUUGGCCAUAUUUCUCAUUAGAGUGGUACCAGCUUCCUGUUUAUCCUGUCCCAACAGUCCAGUUCCAUCCUGGAUAAAACUGAGCCCUUCUCUUUUGUACAGGCCAGACUUCUCCCCAAGUGCUCUCCAGUUGCCCUCUUCCCGACACCCAUGUACAGUGGUACCUCAGGUUACAUACGCUUCAGGUUACAUACGCUUCAGGUUACAUAUGCUUCAGGUUACAGACUCUGCUAACCCAGAAAUAGUGCUUCAGGUUAAGAACUUUGCUUCAGGAUGAGAACAGAAACCGGGCUCCGGCGGCGCGGCAGCAGCAGGAGGCCCCAUUAGCUAAAGUGGUGCUUCAGGUUAAGAACAGUUUCAGGUUAAGAACGGACCUCCAGACCGAAUUAAGUACUUAACCACUGUAUUGCAACUCCACAGCUGUGCCUUUUUCACUGACUCUCCACAUGGAAUCGGUAGCAUUUCAGAUACUUCCUUUGAAGUUGGAUCACCUGAUGUCAUAUGGCUUCAGGUGAUUGACAGGCUGCACCCACCCAUCAGAUGUGGCCCACAGAGAGCAGGCCAGCUUUGGCCCACUGGCCAGGCCCAGUUUGCCACCCCUGCAUUAGACCUCUCAAAUGUAAGGUGCAGUGUAUUUCCCUACAUAAAGGACUGUAUCUAAACCAUGUGAUUUAUCUCACAUCACAUUUCAAAUGUAUGCAUGCUUUCCUACUGAGAGACCAGCUACAAAAGAAAUGAGCUGUGUUUAGAGCAGGGGCAUGGACACUCUGUGCCCAUGAGCACACAAAAACCAGCAGCUAGCCCUGUUUGACACUUGCUUAUCACCUGGAUAACCUACUGUCCAAAUUCUUCCUCACUUUUAGGGUUGAAUAUUGUAUAACCCACCACAGCACAUGCAACAUUUAUAUUAUCUUCGGCCGUGAUUAUCUACAGCAGAGUGUAAGAAGUCUAAUGAGUAUCCGCCAUCCCAUAGGUAUGGAGCAGACUUAAAAAACGUUGGGCCUAGGGGUAUUGUGAAGAAAUUCCUGGAGAACAGCCAAACUUAAAACAGAUGUGGAUCAAAGCUGAAGACAAGGAUCAGCAGAAAUGUUUUCUUGUUCAAGGGCAGAUGCUAUCUUUCAAACAG